CAGAUCGUAGCCUAAUGGCCAGGCACUUACAUUGGGAGUAAGAUUAUGGUAGUUCGAGUCUACCCGAUCUGA
rfam:Babjeviella inositovora NRRL Y-12698 unplaced genomic scaffold BABINscaffold_21, whole genome shotgun sequence.